AAGAUGAACGGGAAGAGUUUUGGUCAUUUUGCCUCGAGAGAAACAGAGUUCGCUCUGCUGUUGUGUGACUGAAGCAAAUCACCUCACGCGCUUUGGAGCUUCAAGAGGAAGCGCGUGAAUUACAAACGAGCCCAUAACACUUUUUUUCAGUCCUUACUUUUUUUCUUUGGAAAUAUAAGUGCCUUAAAGUCAUAAAUAUUCUGAAUAAAAGAUUAAGUACCAUCAACUCCGAUUUUGCCGUCACCAUCGCUGUCACCAGCUGAGAGGAAGGCCUUGGUCUCAGCAUCAGUGAGUGCCCUGGCACCAGCGGAGAAGUUCUGCAGGAACAGUCUGGGAACAUUGAGGAGAAUAAAAAAGAACAUUAGGAAAUAUGCCUUUAUAGAAUAAUAUGAUAAAUGCAAAAGAAUGAGUUCAGUCAUUCAAAAGUCUGUUGCUUUCUUACUUCAGCUCAUCCUCCUCAAUGAAGCCACUCUUGUCCUGGUCGAUGACGAAGAAGGCUUUCUUGAUGUCAUCAGAAGUCUUUGCGCUCAGGCCAACCUUGGCAAAGAAGUUCUUGUAGUUGAAGGAGUCGGCAGCUGGUAUUAAAUAAAACAGAGACCGUAUUAAAAAUCAGCAAAUUAAACAAUAAACUAUCAUUU